AAUCCAUGCCACAUUACGCUUUCUUUUUCAGUCUUUGUUCAGUUAAACCGAGCAAACUAACACUUUCCUCCAAGACGCCAGAGUUCACAUAGGGCUUUUCCUUGUGUCAGACGCGUCAUUCACGUAAACAGAUAGCUUGGGAAUAAAUCCGAAAGAGUGAAGUCAUCUGAAACAGUUGCUCAAAGAACUCGAAGACAUCCUAACCAAGCAUGAUGAGAAAUUUAGUUUACAUCACGAUCGCCAUGUUGAUGUUAAAUUACGAGACAUGCGCUAAAGACUACUGGGCGGAUAUGGGGGUGACGUGUGAGAAAGAAAAAAAGGCAAUACGGGUUUGUGGUGGACAGUUUGUUGAGGACGUUCAUGUAUGCCGCGGAACGUGCAGGUCUUUAAGUAGAAUUACAAUGAGUUCAUGGGACCGAACAGUUUGCACGUGUUGUAGAGCUGAAGGAUUCCUAGAACGGGAUAGAGAGUGCAACGAUGGAACUGUGGAGAAAAUAAAGGACGCGGCAGCCUGCGUGUGUUCAAGAUGCUAUUGAGCGUAGGAAAAAGGACACAAAAGCUAGCUGACUUUGAGUAAAACCAUACAGAGGAAAUAAAACCAGGAACGUAUAGGGAACAUGAAACUAACAAUAUUUGGAACACAUUAUUGGGUAGAUUGUUCGUUUUCAAGUAUGGUAAUGUUGAAAUUUCCAAUUUAACGCAUGCAGCGUAAGGUACUGACCAUCUUAAGCUGAUUAUGAGUAAAUUAAGGCUUGAUUGCGUCUCAACGACCUGAUUGCUGGUUGAGGUAUUCAAAUAAAACAAUUAUCAAAUUUA